rnacentral:lncRNA from 1 species
CAACCUACAGAAUGGGAGAAAAUUUUUGCAAUCUAUCUAUCUGACAAAGGGUAUACUUUUAAUAAAUGACAUUUCCUCCAAAUUUCUUUUCAUGAGUUAAAACUGGAGGUUAAAAAAUCAGUGAAAAAGAAAGGUAACAAUGUCAAAAUAACAUAGUAAGAAACACAUCCUCAGCUGAACAAACUGUAACGAAUCGGCUUUCUUUUUUGAUGUCAGGGGCAAAGUUCACCCAAGACUGGAAUUCCUGUUGAUGCCUAAUAAAAGGUUGCAGAAUUCUUAGGCCUGGAAAACUCAGUGUUGAACUGAAGCAGAUUUCUUAGUUGCAGAGCUUCUCAGAGUCUUUACUAAUUUCUAAUAGAAGCCUAUAAAACACAUUUCCCAGAUUUGAUAAUAGCAGACCCAUCAGUAGGGACUAAUGUUUUCCCAACACAUUUUCAGAAAUGUUAUUCAAGAGGUCUCAGCAAUUCUCCUUUAUGAGCCUCAGGAUAUCUUAAUAGGCCUCAUUAGAUUGUCGCUAUUAUUGUGUGUGAAACACUUUACACAUAUUAUUUUUAAUUCAUAACUCUCAUGUAUGCAGGCAUUAUUAGUGCCUGUUAUAAUUAAGGAAAGAAAUUCGGAGAGGUUAAUGGAUCCAUCCAAAGCCACACAGCUAGUAAAUGAGCUGUGUUUUAAACAUAGAUCUGCCUCAGUCUACUGCUUUUUUUUCCCCUCCUGUAUAAAUACAAUUUCUUUCUUCAUAAAUAUUGUUGAAUUCCAUAGGUGCUCACUCUGUAUUUGCAGAAGAAGAUGGUAUUCUUCUAUCUUUUAGAAUUAAUUACAGUAAAGAAUACACUUUUGAUAAAUUUAAUGCUUAAUUUAAAUAGCUAUUGUAGAAGGCCGACUGUUAAAAAAAAACCAACAAAGGAAUGAAAUCAUUCCACAUGAAGCAGGAUGUAACCAAAUUGUGUUGCUGAGUAAGACUUGAAAAUAAUUUUCAAGGCCGCAUUAAUGCAUCAUCUACUGGCUUUCCCCUGGCUUCUGCUGUUACUUUGCCAGAUUCAGAUUUGAUUUAAUAAGCAACAGCUUAAGAAUAACCAUUUAUGAGCUAUCCUUGCAAUGCUCAGAAACAUGUUCAACUUGAAAGCAUCUUGGAGACUUUGUUGAACCAGAAGGACCAUAUCCUGCGCAUUUCUUAUUUUGCCCUGAAAUAAAACCUCUACUUUUCUUGUCCUUGCACUCUUACUUGUAAAACCUGGCCUAUAAGCUUAAAUAUGUUUUCCUGCAGGAACAAUCCUUGCUACUUUACCUUUGCUUCAACCACACUAAAUGGUUGACAAAGCACAACUGCCAACUUUAAUGGGCUUUGCCUCCCCAGCCACUCCUCUCUUUACGACAAGGGUCGUCAUAUUCCAAAUGGAUGGUUUCUAAAGAGAACCACUCUAUCAGCUUACUUUUCUAACUCUAGUGCUAUCAAGUUAAAAAAAAAAAUAGUCUCCUUUUCUUUUUUUCCAACUGCAGUGUGAUUUUUUCCUUUUAUUUUAUGAUUUCAGAAUGCCUGAUUAUUAUAAACUGUUCAAGUUUUCUAUCUUACAUCACAAGAAGUCCUCUGACUUAAAUUGUAACUCUUUAUCUUGAUUCUGUUUCCACCAUAAGUGUGGAAUUCUGAGGCUGUUAGAUUAUACUUUUUGAGGCCAGUUUCCUAUUUCUAAGACCGUUCAGGGUCUAAGAGAACAGAUUGAGAAAUUCAUCGAAGAUUAUGGGGUGUUCAAUCAAAGUACCUCUUCUUUGAAGUUUCUUUCAUAUUUACUACAAUGCCUUUUCUUUUUCUAAUUUUGUUUUAUUGUGGUAAGAUAAUCUUCUUAAUAAAGUUUUAAGUGUAUAAUAUAUUAUUGCUGACUGUAGGUUGAAUGCAGUACAGCAGAUAUCUAGAGCUUAUUUAUUUUGCUUAAUUAAAACUUCAUACCCAUUGAUUAGUCACAUGGAACAAUAUUCUGUGAUAGGAGGUGGGAAAGGUUGGAGAAAAGGGAGAUAGUGACCUGGGAAUGUAAGUAGAAUGGCCAGAUAAAAUACAGAAUGCACAGUUAACUUUGAAAUUCAGAUAACAAUGAAAUUUUUUCUUCUAUAAGUAUGUCCCAUGCAAUAUUUGAAACAUACUUAUACUAAAAAUUUCUUCAUUGUUUAUGUAAACUUCAAAGUUAAUUGUUGUCCUGUAUUUGUAUUUGCUAAAUCUGCAGCCCUACAUAUGGGAGAAGUCUUGGUACAGAGGGCAGGAGGUGGUCAUGAGUGAGAAAAACUGCGUGUGGAGCUGGGUACAUCUGGAAGGAGUUGGAACAGGAAGACUCUAGAGGCCAGAAUGACUAUGGGGUGAGCAUAAAAAGGGAGGAAAGAAAACCUGCUUCUUAGUUUCUACAGUUACACUUCAUGAGAAUAUUUAGGAAAUAAAAUGAAAAUAACAAUCAUUUUUAUAAACAAAUAGACAAAACAUCAAAUGUUAAUGUUUUAUCACAUUCCCAUAUAAAACACCAAAUGUGGGCUUUUAUAAAUUCUGAAUUCAAACUGGUUAGUUUUAUUUUUACAAAUCAUUUCUCAUUUUAUCUGAAAUAGUAACAUCAGAACUGUGUUUUGUAAAGUUUAUUUUUUUAGUAAAAUUGCAUGUCUUUGGAAAAUAGUUUAUGUUCUAGGAUUUGUUUCAAGAUAAUUUAUAGGGUUUGCCCUGUAUAUUUCUUCCCCACACCUGUAUUCUAAGCACAUAGCUGACACUUUUGCAGAUAGACCUCUGAGAUGAAUCCUCAGUUUCCGCCUGGCUAGGAAAAGCCUAAAAAGAUAAAUGCUAAGAUUGCUUAUGAGGACUAGAGACAGAGGAAGUGACUAUCAGAGCAACAGGGAUGAAGAAGAAAAAUAUUUCCCAGGAAAGAAAAAGAGAUGGAGGAGGAGAAUGGUAGGGUGAGGACUGGCAUAUUUCCUUGUGGUAGUACUCUGCCUGCAGACUGGUGAGUGUAUGAUUUCCUUGAGAUAUGGCUUGGGGAGGUUUAUCCCCAGGGUGGACAUAGAGAUCCCCAGCCUUCCAAAGUACAUCAAACAGCUCAAGUAGAAAUGGAGCACAGGUAGACCUGAAGGCAGCCUGAGCACUAGGCCUGCUGUGCCUCAGUAGUAACCAUGACAGACUGAUAGCUGAUGACCCAGGGGCUUCCUCAUUUCCAGAUAUUACCUAAGACCUGGGAACCUUUGCAUAACACUGGGUGGAGGGCGUGGUCCACAUACCUCUGAUUAAGUUUCCCACCAGCACAGCAGAUAUCUAGAGCUUAUUUAGAUAAGGUGAGAUGAAUCAGAAUUAAGUUGAUUUGAGAAAAAGAAAGUGAAAUUUCUUGCACACAUGUGGCCUAAGAUUUAUGCCCAUGCUUCAUAUUUGCUUAAUUUGAAUUCCACAUUUACCAAUUACUAGGAGGAAACCUUUUUUUUCCUGAUAAUUAUGCCUAAGGUAUCAUGAUAUGAAAUACUAAUUUUAUAAAUUUUUUCUAAGAUACUGUAGGUAAUAGAGAAAUUCCCAAAUUGCUUGAUUUUGAUUCAGGUAGGCCAGGCUGUAACUAAUUGUGUUCUUUCUAAGAUUUGAGAAUAAUUGAAUCUGUUUUUGCUUUUUGCCAAGUCCUCGAGAGUAGUGCUCAAUAUAAUAAUAUUUUCCUAGCAUUACUUCAGCAGUCAAACAAGAAUAUAAUCCAAAAAGUCCCCUGUAUUCACAAUGACAAUGCUCUUAUGAUGAAACCACAGAAAGAAGUUGUAAUUAAUGCAAGGAAUAAUGUGAACAAUCUAUUAACAUAAUCUGAAUGAAAUCCUUGCACAGUUAAAUGCAGACACUAAGUGCUCAUAUAAUACUUUAUUAAUUAACAAAGUAUUUAUCCACAGGGAAAUGAGGAUAAGAGACCACACACUUUGUCAGACUACAGGAAAAUGUAUUAGUGCUUCAUAAGAAAUGCAUACAAUUCAAACAAUAGCAUGAUUAUCUUUUUAAAGCAAUUACAUUUAAUCUCAGAAGAAAGAAUAAAUACAUUAAUUCUUCCAUGUUCCCUGAUAAGCCACCAAGAUACAUAAGCGAUCAUUUUCUUUUCCUACAGCUCUGGAGGCUGGUGACAAUUCAGCGUGUGCUGCUUAGACAACUUUUAUAGUGAAAUACCACUUAGCACACAAAAACACAUUAUGAGAUUAACUGACUUUUGGCUGAAUAGAGUUCUCUUCCCUGGGAAGCUGUGGUUUGUACUUAACUUUGCACAUUCCUUUCAGCUUUGGAGACUUGAAUGAUGAGAAGGUGGAUGCUUUAGUCUGGUUAGUAUUGUUAAAACAGAAUACCGGAGGCUGGGUAAUUUAUGAAGAAAAUAGUUUUAUUUAACUCAUGGCUCUGCAUGCUGGGAAGUUCAAGAGCAUGGUGCUGAUUUCUAGAGAGGCUUUCAUGCUGCAUCAUAGCAUGACAGAAGGUCAACAGGGGAGUGGAUGUGAAGAAGGGGCCAAAUAGGUAAAGGAAACUUGCUUUAAAACAAAUUACUCUUGUGGGAACUAGUCCAUAUCUGUGACAGCAAGAGCUCACUUUUCAAGAAGACCUUAACCUAUUCAUAGGGAUACACCCCCGUGACUCAAACACCUCUGACUAGGCCCCACCUUCAAUACUGCUACACUGGCAAUAAAACUUCAAUAUGAAUUUUGACAGGAACAAACCACAUCCAAACCAUAGCAGUGGAUUGCCUAUAAUAAUGGUGUUUGGUGUUGAAUUCCAAGUCUGUUUUUUCUUGUUGUUGUUGUUUUUUAUCUUGAUGUGCUGGGCUAAACCAAGUACCAUCACCAAAAAUGUCUUCUACCUUUAAAGCUCCAAAUGGAAGUCAAAGUAGUUAGCACCAUGAUUUCUUUCUUUUGGCCUCACUCAGCGAUUCUUGACCUUCCAGACCUGGGAGCUGAUAAGCAGAAGGUCCACCCUGCAUCAUAUUAGCAGAUUGUGACAUUAUAUGAUGAUCUACUUACAGGCCUUGUGGCCAACAACUAAUAAGACAGAGUUUUGGCCAACAUGGCUCUUAUUUAUCACCUCCUAAGCCAUAACCUGAUUAUCAUAGCUCCAGUUUCCAGCCCCAUACCAGUCUCUUGUCAAUCAGUAUCAGAAGGCCUGCUCUAACUUCUCUUAUGGUUGCUUCAUAGCUGUCUCCAAUCGCUACUGGCUUCUCAGAAAUAUCCCUUUCCAGUUUAACCCAGGGACCGAGACCCAGAGUACUACGUGCCCUCAGAUGUCAUAACUCCUCACUGGGUUUGCAGCAGAUAGAUGAGAGCUGGUGUAAGACUACAAUGAUGAAGAAACUGAAGCAGAGAAAUAAGGAAUUUGUCCAAAUCUCACAGCAAUGUUAGCACAGUUCAGAGGACCAAGAAGCUGAGGGAUAGUGCAAUGUGAGGCAGUACCCUUAAUGGUAAGAGAAAGGGGAGGGUUGGAAUAUUGCAUUAAAAAAGAGAACUGAGACAUUUUCAAUGAAGAGUUGCUAUGUUUGUCCGAGGUCUCACCAUGUCCGCAUAUAAAUAGAUAUGAAGCAGCUCUGGCUUUCAGAGAGCAGCCCAAGUGUGCCUGUGGUCUCUCAGCUCAUCCAUACGUGACACUUCAAAAAAAGAGAUGGAGAGUGGAAGUGACUGGAAAGAACCCUUUGGGUUAUACUGAUCAUUGCCAUGUGCUCCACAAAACUCCACUAUCUGAAAGGUAGUGGUCAGGAAUUCAAAGAAAAUCCUAUAGAGAGUGUGAUACAGAAGGUUUUGCAUAAAUUAAAUAUAACACAACCAUUCCCAGACCUCAGAGAUCACAUUGUUUUUCUCUCCAAUCUCCAGUUAGAUUAUUUAUUUGAAAUGGUAUCAAAUAUGCCUGUCCCCAGGCUAGGAGUAAAAUAGCAAUUUUGAUGCUGAACAUAAGGAGAAGAGAACAAAAAGAUUAAAGCAAUCAAAACAAAAUGUGGCAUGUUUUGAAAAAGGCUAAAAACAUGGCAAAGAGAAUACCAUUCUUUGCUGAUACGCAAAGAGCCAAAAUUUAAAUAAAUAAAUGUUAAGGCCAUGUUCAAGAUAAGCACAGUUGUUGGGUAUAGAAAAAUGGAUAAUAUAGCAGAGAAAGACAUGAUCAAAACCAAUGGUUUAAAACCAUUUUUAAAACAGCAGAAUGCUUUUAUUCCAGUGUAAUUGUACAUGAAAUUCAAUUGAUAAAGCAGAUAAAAAUGCAGCUGCUCCAGUAGAAUAAGGGGAGACCAAAGGCACUGUACCUCUGCCUCUCUUUUUUCUCCUGCAGCUGCUCCUGUAGCCCUGCCAAGGAAUUCUUACACUCUGCAAAAUGGAAUUUGAAAAGCAAAUGUUGUAAUGCCACAACUUCUAUCCAUUGCAUAGUUUUAUAGGUGUUAAAUAUUAUUAACUCCUUUUAAACUGGUAGGCAUACACUAAUAAAGUUGUAGGCCGUUCUCCUUUCUUGUGUUCAUAAUUCUACAUCUUAAAAAUAGAGUUGAAAGAUGUAGCAGCUGACAAAAGUAUAAAAAUUGUGCCAGCCCAUCUCACACUUUCUGGUGGCCCUGCUGAUACUGGCAGGAGAGAACUGUAUGUGGAUGAUGUGCAGUAUUCACAUCAGUAAUAAAAUUCUUGCCUGCCCCUUAUGGUCUGAUUUAUUUGAACUUCUUAUUGUCUCUCACAUCCUUGACCCAGGGACUGUUGGUAAUUUGCAUUGUUUCUACUGAGUAAGUCGGAUGUGUUUAAUAUUUAUCUUCAGAAGUUCAGAGACCUUAGGUGAACUUUGUAUCUAGUUAACUGGAAUGAUUAAUUCAUACAUCCAAAAGCUAAAGGGUUCUUUCUGUGAAUUGUCAGCAUCCAUUCUUCGAAAUGCAGCAGGACGGUUUAAUGGCUUAAAUGCACUGGUGUUGAAGGUUUGAGGAGGGCUCAGUGCUUCUUGGUUCCAUGUGGAACUGAAGGCACAGAAGCAAAAAGGACUAUUUAGCCCCUGCUUAAGCCAUAACCAGGAUAUAGAAGUCCUUGGCCCUGUAAUUUAAAUCAUCAGUCGCCAGUGAAGAAGAGAAGGUGGGUUUAUGUCACUUCUGAGUGGAUAAUCUGAGGAAUGAGAAGGCAACCUAUAAUACACUUGCUGUUGAAAGAGAAACAGCAGUCAGAGCAGGGCUGGGAGACAUACGGACAUUCAAAUUCUCAAGGCUUCCCUGCUUCCAGCUUGCUUUCUCAUCUGUAAAAUGGAACAAGAAUAGCUGCAAGACUGGGUG